UCAGUAACAAACGAGGUGCUCGCCAGCAUGAAGGUCGUCGUCUUCGCUUCGUCGCUCUUCCUUCUUUUGUUAGCAGGUGACGCGUCUAGUUCUCCCGAUUACAAGUUGAUUUCGUCAAAGCAGUGGCCUCGACACAAAGUGCUACGAGCAGAGCCGUUGGCGGCUGAGUCGACAGAAACGAAAUAUAUCGUCCGAUUUGUGAAAAAUCAGAAAAUAGCAAACGCAAUUGACGUUGCGGUCAUAAAGACUGCGAUUAAAAAGAGGACAUCGCCAGAUGGAAACGUGCUUUGUGGACCUUUCCAGGUUUCGUACCUCGGCAAGUGCAGGGAUAUUCUAUCGCCCAAAUACAAGCUUCUUGUGAACACCAACUCUGCUUCAAACCAAUAAAAAAUAGCCUUUAUUUAACAGAUCAAGUGAUUUAUAUUAAUUUUGUGAGCUCCAGAUUGGUUUAAAAUUUAAUUAUAUUAGCCAAUAAAUAAAUGAGAUAAAAUGUUUUAAAGAAUUUACGAAAGAAAAUUUUUAAAAUCAUUGGCUUUUGUCCUUUCUCAUAACAAUGUCAUGACAUUUAACGUGAAAAGAUUUCACAAUGUCUUUUCAAUAGGAUUAGAAAAGUUGUUUCCUUUUCUAUGACGCAAAUAGAGAAAACAGGUUCAAUUGGUUGAAGUGACAAUUCCCGCGCAUAGGUAAUUAUCCAGAGAAGAGGCUGAAAGAAGGUAAAACAGUCAUUUCCAUUCCACGAUUUAGAGGAUGAAGAUCACAAUCACUUUGCUGUGCGUCUUAAUUUUCCUUGCUGCCAUCCUGACUGGAGGAAUGACCCAGCAGAACAACAGGCGCAAUCGACCUUACAACGGUGGCCACAUUUCAGGAGGACUGAAACGCAAUCCAUGCCCACGGGGCCAGAUUUUGGUUCGCGGCUACUGCAGAUCACAACGUGGCUAAAUAAUUUUAGAGAAAAGAGCAGUACUAAAUAGCAAUAUUUACAUUUUUACUCGUGGUG